rnacentral:RNase_P_RNA from 1 species
GUGGGAUGGCUUGUCGCUUGACAUGCUGUAAUGGCGGUCAAGAGGAAAGUCUGGGCAACACAGAGCAUCACACUUCUUAACGGGAAGCUAUGGGCGACCGUGGGGUUAAGGUGACAGAAAACAACCGCCAGUUGCUGGCAAGGGUGAAAAGGUGGGGUAAGAGCCCACCGGACACGGUGGCGACACCGCGUGCCGCACUACCUGUGAGUUGCCAGGUCAAGUAUACCGGUAUCUAAGGGCUGCUCAUCCAUUGUCGGGGGUGUAGACCGCUAUAUCAGUGCAGCAAUGUACUGGACAGAUAAAUGACAGGCGGCAGGCGCGUCCAGCUACAUAACCCGGCAUAUAGUCCCACUGC